GCAAGUCGAGCGGUAAGUUAACUUCGGUUAACCUAGAGCGGCGGACGGGUGAGUAACACGUGGAUAAUCUGUCUUGCAGAUCGGGACAGCCUCAUUAGAGGGUAAUACCGGAUACGAUCAUAAGGCCGCAGGGUUUUAUGAGGAAAGUGGCUAAGGCCACGCUGCGAGGUGAGUCCGCGACCCAUUAGCUAGAUGGUAAGGUAAAGGCCUACCAUGGCGAUGAUGGGUAGCCGGCCUGAGAGGGUGAUC
rnacentral:rRNA from 1 species